UUAAGCGACUAAGCGUACACGGUGGAUGCCCUGGCAGUCAGAGGCGAUGAAGGACGUGCUAAUCUGCGAUAAGCGUCGGUAAGGUGAUAUGAACCGUUAUAACCGGCGAUUUCCGAAUGGGGAAACCCAGUGUGUUUCGACACACUAUCAUUAACUGAAUCCAUAGGUUAAUGAGGCGAACCGGGGGAACUGAAACAUCUAAGUACCCCGAGGAAAAGAAAUCAACCGAGAUUCCCCCAGUAGCGGCGAGCGAACGGGGAGCAGCCCAGAGCCUGAAUCAGUGUGUGUGUUAGUGGAAGCGUCUGGAAAGGCGCGCGAUACAGGGUGACAGCCCCGUACACAAAAAUNCACAUAUUGUGAGCUCGAUGAGUAGGGCGGGACACGUGGUAUCCUGUCUGAAUAUGGGGGGACCAUCCUCCAAGGCUAAAUACUCCUGACUGACCGAUAGUGAACCAGUACCGUGAGGGAAAGGCGAAAAGAACCCCGGCGAGGGGAGUGAAAAAGAACCUGAAACCGUGUACGUACAAGCAGUGGGAGCACGCUUAGGCGUGUGACUGCGUACCUUUUGUAUAAUGGGUCAGCGACUUAUAUUCUGUAGCAAGGUUAACCGAAUAGGGGAGCCGAAGGGAAACCGAGUCUUAACUGGGCGUUAAGUUGCAGGGUAUAGACCCGAAACCCGGUGAUCUAGCCAUGGGCAGGUUGAAGGUUGGGUAACACUAACUGGAGGACCGAACCGACUAAUGUUGAAAAAUUAGCGGAUGACUUGUGGCUGGGGGUGAAAGGCCAAUCAAACCGGGAGAUAGCUGGUUCUCCCCGAAAGCUAUUUAGGUAGCGCCUCGUGAAUUCAUCUCCGGGGGUAGAGCACUGUUUCGGCAAGGGGGUCAUCCCGACUUACCAACCCGAUGCAAACUGCGAAUACCGGAGAAUGUUAUCACGGGAGACACACGGCGGGUGCUAACGUCCGUCGUGAAGAGGGAAACAACCCAGACCGCCAGCUAAGGUCCCAAAGUCAUGGUUAAGUGGGAAACGAUGUGGGAAGGCCCAGACAGCCAGGAUGUUGGCUUAGAAGCAGCCAUCAUUUAAAGAAAGCGUAAUAGCUCACUGGUCGAGUCGGCCUGCGCGGAAGAUGUAACGGGGCUAAACCAUGCACCGAAGCUGCGGCAGCGACGCUUAUGCGUUGUUGGGUAGGGGAGCGUUCUGUAAGCCUGCGAAGGUGUGCUGUGAGGCAUGCUGGAGGUAUCAGAAGUGCGAAUGCUGACAUAAGUAACGAUAAAGCGGGUGAAAAGCCCGCUCGCCGGAAGACCAAGGGUUCCUGUCCAACGUUAAUCGGGGCAGGGUGAGUCGACCCCUAAGGCGAGGCCGAAAGGCGUAGUCGAUGGGAAACAGGUUAAUAUUCCUGUACUUGGUGUUACUGCGAAGGGGGGACGGAGAAGGCUAUGUUGGCCGGGCGACGGUUGUCCCGGUUUAAGCGUGUAGGCUGGUUUUCCAGGCAAAUCCGGAAAAUCAAGGCUGAGGCGUGAUGACGAGGCACUACGGUGCUGAAGCAACAAAUGCCCUGCUUCCAGGAAAAGCCUCUAAGCAUCAGGUAACAUCAAAUCGUACCCCAAACCGACACAGGUGGUCAGGUAGAGAAUACCAAGGCGCUUGAGAGAACUCGGGUGAAGGAACUAGGCAAAAUGGUGCCGUAACUUCGGGAGAAGGCACGCUGAUAUGUAGGUGAAGUCCCUUGCGGAUGGAGCUGAAAUCAGUCGAAGAUACCAGCUGGCUGCAACUGUUUAUUAAAAACACAGCACUGUGCAAACACGAAAGUGGACGUAUACGGUGUGACGCCUGCCCGGUGCCGGAAGGUUAAUUGAUGGGGUCAGCGCAAGCGAAGCUCUUGAUCGAAGCCCCGGUAAACGGCGGCCGUAACUAUAACGGUCCUAAGGUAGCGAAAUUCCUUGUCGGGUAAGUUCCGACCUGCACGAAUGGCGUAAUGAUGGCCAGGCUGUCUCCACCCGAGACUCAGUGAAAUUGAACUCGCUGUGAAGAUGCAGUGUACCCGCGGCAAGACGGAAAGACCCCGUGAACCUUUACUAUAGCUUGACACUGAACAUUGAGCCUUGAUGUGUAGGAUAGGUGGGAGGCUUUGAAGUGUGGACGCCAGUCUGCAUGGAGCCGGCCUUGAAAUACCACCCUUUAAUGUUUGAUGUUCUAACGUGGACCCGUGAUCCGGGUUGCGGACAGUGUCUGGUGGGUAGUUUGACUGGGGCGGUCUCCUCCUAAAGAGUAACGGAGGAGCACGAAGGUUGGCUAAUCCUGGUCGGACAUCAGGAGGUUAGUGCAAUGGCAUAAGCCAGCUUGACUGCGAGCGUGACGGCGCGAGCAGGUGCGAAAGCAGGUCAUAGUGAUCCGGUGGUUCUGAAUGGAAGGGCCAUCGCUCAACGGAUAAAAGGUACUCCGGGGAUAACAGGCUGAUACCGCCCAAGAGUUCAUAUCGACGGCGGUGUUUGGCACCUCGAUGUCGGCUCAUCACAUCCUGGGGCUGAAGUAGGUCCCAAGGGUAUGGCUGUUCGCCAUUUAAAGUGGUACGCGAGCUGGGUUUAGAACGUCGUGAGACAGUUCGGUCCCUAUCUGCCGUGGGCGCUGGAGAACUGAGGGGGGCUGCUCCUAGUACGAGAGGACCGGAGUGGACGCAUCACUGGUGUUCGGGUUGUCAUGCCAAUGGCACUGCCCGGUAGCUAAAUGCGGAAGAGAUAAGUGCUGAAAGCAUCUAAGCACGAAACUUGCCCCGAGAUGAGUUCUCCCUGACCCUUUAAGGGUCCUGAAGGAACGUUGAAGACGACGACGUUGAUAGGCCGGGUGUGUAAGCGCAGCGAUGCGUUGAGCUAACCGGUACUAAUGAACCGUGAGGCUUAACCUU
rnacentral:rRNA from 1 species